CCCUUAGAUGUUCUGGGCCGCACGCGUGCUACACUGAGUGGAUCAGCGGGUCAGGUUGCGCGAAAGCGUUUCCUAAUCUUUAAAUCCGCUCGUGAUGGGGAUUGACGGUUGCAAUUUUCUGUCAUGAACGAGGAAUACCUUGUAAGCGCGGGUCAUCAUCCCGCGCUGAAUACGUCCCUGCCCUUUGUACACACCGCCCGUCGCUCCUACCGAUUGAGUGGUCCGGUGAGGCUUUGGGAUCUGAGCGGAAAGAGCGUUUCGCUCGUUUGGCUCGGAAAACUCAGUCGAACCUUAUCAUUUAGAGGAAGGAGAAGUCGUAACA
rnacentral:rRNA from 1 species